UACAGGGGGUGCAAACGUUGCUCGGAAUUAUUGGGCGUAAAGCGCGCGUAGGCGGCUACUUAAGUCGGAUGUGAAAGCCCUUGGCUCAACUGAGGAAGUGCACCCGAAACUGAGUGGCUUGAGUACUAAAGAGGGUCGCGGAAUUCCCGGUGUAGAGGUGAAAUUCGUAGAUAUCGGGAGGAACACCGGUGGCGAAGGCGGCGACCUGGGUCGACACUGACGCUGAGGCGCGAAAGCGUGGGGGAGCAAACAGG
rnacentral:rRNA from 1 species